UGGGCUCGUCUUCGAUGAAUGCGGAGAGGAUAGGAUCUUAGUAACAGAAGAUGGAACCACGAUGAAGGUCGGAGAAGAAGAAGAUGGAAGGAGAGCCAGAGGAAGACAUGAUGUUUCUAGUUGAUGGCCGAUGGAGCGUUCGAGAGAUGGAGAGAGGAUACGUCGUUUUGGUUG